ensembl:lncRNA
UGCACCAAAACUUAGUUUGAACAAAAAAGGGUUGGAAAACUAUUCACAAACCAUGAUACCAUCAUGAAAAGGAUAAAUGUACUUUCCUGAGGUGCUAGUUUUAGGAAAACACUGUUAACCAAUGCAUUCUUGUGUUCUGUGCGUUUUCAGCUUUCUCUCGGCCUGCAAACGCCUUAAUCGUCAAGAUUGCACCAAAACUUAGUUUGAACAAAAAAGGUUGGAAAACUAUUCUCAAACCAUGAUACCAUCAUGAAAAGGAUAAAUGUACUUUCCUGAGGUGCUAGUUUUAGGAAAACACUGUUAACCAAUACAUUCUUGUGUUCUGUGCGUUUUAAGCUUUCUCUCGGCCUGCAAACGCCUUAAUAGUCAUGAAUGCACCAAAACUUAGUUUGAACAAAAAAGGUUGGAAAACUAUUCUCAAACCAUGAUACCAUCAUGAAAAGGAUAAAUGUACUUUCCUGAGAGGCUAUUUUAGGAAAACACUGUUAACCAAUGCAUUCUUGUGUUCUGUGCGUUUUCAGCUUUCUCUCGGC